ACUUAAAUUGAAGAGUUUGAUCAUGGCUCAGAUUGAACGCUGGCGGCAGGCCUAACACAUGCAAGUCGAGCGGUAGCACAGAGAGCUUGCUCUCGGGUGACGAGCGGCGGACGGGUGAGUAAUGUCUGGGAAACUGCCUGAUGGAGGGGGAUAACUACUGGAAACGGUAGCUAAUACCGCAUAACGUCGCAAGACCAAAGUGGGGGACCUUCGGGCCUCAUGCCAUCAGAUGUGCCCAGAUGGGAUUAGCUAGUAGGUGGGGUAACGGCUCACCUAGGCGACGAUCCCUAGCUGGUCUGAGAGGAUGACCAGCCACACUGGAACUGAGACACGGUCCAGACUCCUACGGGAGGCAGCAGUGGGGAAUAUUGCACAAUGGGCGCAAGCCUGAUGCAGCCAUGCCGCGUGUGUGAAGAAGGCCUUCGGGUUGUAAAGCACUUUCAGCGGGGAGGAAGGCGUUAAGGUUAAUAACCUUGGCGAUUGACGUUACCCGCAGAAGAAGCACCGGCUAACUCCGUGCCAGCAGCCGCGGUAAUACGGAGGGUGCAAGCGUUAAUCGGAAUUACUGGGCGUAAAGCGCACGCAGGCGGUCUGUCAAGUCGGAUGUGAAAUCCCCGGGCUUAACCUGGGAACUGCAUUCGAAACUGGCAGGCUAGAGUCUUGUAGAGGGGGGUAGAAUUCCAGGUGUAGCGGUGAAAUGCGUAGAGAUCUGGAGGAAUACCGGUGGCGAAGGCGGCCCCCUGGACAAAGACUGACGCUCAGGUGCGAAAGCGUGGGGAGCAAACAGGAUUAGAUACCCUGGUAGUCCACGCCGUAAACGAUGUCGAUUUGGAGGUUGUGCCCUUGAGGCGUGGCUUCCGGAGCUAACGCGUUAAAUCGACCGCCUGGGGAGUACGGCCGCAAGGUUAAAACUCAAAUGAAUUGACGGGGGCCCGCACAAGCGGUGGAGCAUGUGGUUUAAUUCGAUGCAACGCGAAGAACCUUACCUGGUCUUGACAUCCACAGAACUUAGCAGAGAUGCUUUGGUGCCUUCGGGAACUGUGAGACAGGUGCUGCAUGGCUGUCGUCAGCUCGUGUUGUGAAAUGUUGGGUUAAGUCCCGCAACGAGCGCAACCCUUAUCCUUUGUUGCCAGCGGUCCGGCCGGGAACUCAAAGGAGACUGCCAGUGAUAAACUGGAGGAAGGUGGGGAUGACGUCAAGUCAUCAUGGCCCUUACGACCAGGGCUACACACGUGCUACAAUGGCAUAUACAAAGAGAAGCGACCUCGCGAGAGCAAGCGGACCUCAUAAAGUAUGUCGUAGUCCGGAUUGGAGUCUGCAACUCGACUCCAUGAAGUCGGAAUCGCUAGUAAUCGUAGAUCAGAAUGCUACGGUGAAUACGUUCCCGGGCCUUGUACACACCGCCCGUCACACCAUGGGAGUGGGUUGCAAAAGAAGUAGGUAGCUUAACCUUCGGGAGGGCGCUUACCACUUUGUGAUUCAUGACUGGGGUGAAGUCGUAACAAGGUAACCGUAGGGGAACCUGCGGUUGGAUCACCUCCUUACCUUAAAGAA
rnacentral:rRNA from 1 species